rnacentral:rRNA from 1 species
UACGUAGGGGGCAAGCGUUGUCCGGAAUCAUUGGGCGUAAAGAGCGUGUAGGCGGCCCGAUAAGUCCGCUGUGAAAGUCCAGGGCUCAACCCUGGAAGGCCGGUGGAAACUGUCGGGCUAGAGUCCGGGAGAGGAGAGUGGAAUUCCUGGUGUAGCGGUGAAAUGCGCAGAUAUCAGGAAGAACACCCGUGGCGAAAGCGGCUCUCUGGAACGGUACUGACGCUGAGACGCGAAAGCGUGGGGAGCGAACAGG